GACGAAGGAUCCAAGCGUUAUCCGGAUUUAUUGGGUUUAAAGGGUGCGUAGGCGGAUCGAUAAGUCAGUGGUGAAAGCCUGUUGCUUAACAACAGAACUGCCAUUGAUACUGUCAAUCUUGAAUAUGUUUGAUGUGGGCGGAAUAUGACAUGUAGCGGUGAAAUGCUUAGAUAUGUCAUAGAACACCGAUGGCGAAGGCAGCCCCCUGGGUCAAGAUUGACGCUCAUGCACGAAAGCGUGGGGAGCAAACAGG
rnacentral:rRNA from 1 species